rnacentral:misc_RNA from 1 species
ACCUACUGUUUAAUUUUGAGGGUUCGUUUUUACGAAUACUCAAAAUUAGCACUUUUAGCAACAGAAUAAACUGAACGCAUGUGAAGUUUGUUUGUUGGCGCUGUGCGUUAGCACUUUAAGUAACGGAAUAAUCUGAGUGAAUACGAAGGUUGUUCGUUGACGUGGUGCGUUAGCACUUUAAGCAACGGAAUUUAUUUGUUGGCGCCGUGCUUUAGCACUUUGAAAACUGCAUAUAUAUUUAGUGAUAUGACAUCUAAUUUGUAAUAUAUAAAGCUGAUAACUUUUUAAAAUUAUCGAAGUUGAUAGCUUCUAAUCUAUCAAACCUUUUUAACUGGUCAA